rnacentral:misc_RNA from 1 species
UUAACUAUUUAAUAGUACUCAGACGACACUAACAUUCAGAGUUUUAGGGGUCCUCUGGCGGGCACGCCGGACGCGAAUCCGGGCAAGCCAGGCUUGCGGCCCGCCAAAGCAACAUUCUGUAAUGAUACACAAGGGUGGGAGAUCUACCCCGAAGGGCAUGAACUCUGUAAUGAUCCUUCCGCAGGUUCACCUACGGAAA